rnacentral:rRNA from 1 species
UGUCUCCUUUCUCUAAUCAGUGAAACUAAUCUCCCCGUGAAGAAGCGGGGAUACUACUAUAAGACGAGAAGACCCCAUGGAGCUUUAAACCCAACUACAGCCCUACUUUCCAUACCCACUCAACCAACAGGGCCCUGUACGCUUGGUUUUAGGUUGGGGCGACCACGGAGUAAAAUUAAACCUCCACGAUGAACGGGAAUUCCCUCUUAUCUAAGAGCCACACCUCUAAGAAUUAGCAUACUAACAUAAUAUGAUCCGAUACUCGAUCAACGAACCANGUUACCCUGGGGAUAACAGCGCAAUCCAUUUCAAGAGCCCCUAUCGACAAAUGGGUUUACGACCUCGAUGUUGGAUCAGGAUAUCCUAGUGGUGCAGCAGCUACUAAGGGUUCGUUUGUUCAACGAUUAAAAUCCU